UACGAAGGGGGCUAGCGUUGCUCGGAAUCACUGGGCGUAAAGCGCACGUAGGCGGAUCGUUAAGUCAGGGGUGAAAUCCUGGAGCUCAACUCCAGAACUGCCUUUGAUACUGGCGACCUUGAGUUCGGGAGAGGUGAGUGGAACUGCGAGUGUAGAGGUGAAAUUCGUAGAUAUUCGCAAGAACACCAGUGGCGAAGGCGGCUCACUGGCCCGGUACUGACGCUGGAGGUGCGAAAGCGUGGGGAGCAAACAGG
rnacentral:rRNA from 1 species